GGAAGUAAAAGUCAUAACAAGGUCUCCGUAGGUGAACCUGCGGAGGGAUCAUUACAGAGUUCAUGCCCUACCGUGUAGAUCUCCCACCCUAUGUUAUUAUUACUUUGUUGCUUUGGCGGGCCGUUAGGCUCCGGCCCGACUACCGGCCCCGGCUGGUAAGCGCCCGCCAGAGGACCCAAAACCCUGAAUAUUAGUGUCGUCUGAGUACUAUAUAAUAGUUAAAACUUUCAACAACGGAUCUCUUGGUUCUG
rnacentral:misc_RNA from 1 species